rnacentral:rRNA from 1 species
UACGUAGGGUGCAAGCGUUAAUCGGAAUUACUGGGCGUAAAGCGUGCGCAGGCGGUUAUAUAAGACAGGUGUGAAAUCCCCGGGCUUAACCUGGGAACUGCAUUUGUGACUGCAUAGCUAGAGUACGGUAGAGGGGGAUGGAAUUCCGCGUGUAGCAGUGAAAUGCGUAGAUAUGCGGAGGAACACCGAUGGCGAAGGCAAUCCCCUGGACCUGUACUGACGCUCAUGCACGAAAGCGUGGGGAGCAAACAGG